UAACCUGAAGUAGGAAAAUAUAUUUCAAGAUUUUAAAAUGCUUUUAUUGUCACUGUGCUAUUGGAGAAUGCCCUAGUGAGCUCAUAUUAAGAAAAUUAAGGCAAACCCAAGCUCCUACCAAAGCAUUUACAACAAGGCUCUCUUUCUGUAAACACUAUUAGAAAGCCUGACAUUUCUGCUCAUCACAAAAUGUUAGAUAAUGUAAUGACUGAUUCUUUAUUUGCAGCUGCAGCUGCACUUUACAGCCAAUUAGGAAGCUGAGGCUAAUUACUUGUGUGUAUGGGGAUUACUCUGUUUCUUAUUGCUUACUGAAAUGUGACCUUAAAAUGUAACUCUAUAUUCAGCAUGAAAGAGGCUAUUGAAUAGAUAGAUGAUAGAUAGAUAGAUAGAUAGAUAGAUAGAUAGAUAGAUAGAUAGAUAGAUAUCUCUAAGAACAAAGAGAAGCUUAAGCCAACAUGAGAAAAUAGGCAGGAAAACCAACAUGAGAAAAGAGCAACAUGAGAGAAAAGAGACAACUGCCAUCAGAACGUGUGUGCUCGUUUCCUACCCCUCAGAUAGAACAAGUUUAGUUUCGCAACUCUGGGCAUUCUCUUUGAGCCCUGGUGCAGCCUGGUGCUGGUUCCCUGGACUUCGAUACCUUUUCAACUUGAAUCAUGCAACUAAAUACACUUAGAGCCUCACAGGUGAAUUGACACUUCAUAUACAGAGACUGAUGACAGCCCCAGGUAGUUUUGUUCUCAAAAGCUUUUCAGGCAGCUCAAAGAUAAAAUCUGAGGUCUUGAGUUAUUUUGUCACAGCAAAAUACUGUCCCAGGAUUUCUGAGGUAAACACAAUUGACAUCAAAGAAUUGAGAUGCAGCAAGAAAAACACUAUCCUCAGACUGUUGAGCUCUAAAUUGGAAGGUGAAAAAAAAAUCACCUAAAAAUGGAAAUGGUUCAGAAUCAUCCAUUCCCCUUCACACACAUUCUGGAUUCAUACAUAUGACUUGAAUCAUUGGGAACAGACCUAAUGAGUCCAAGGAAGCCAUGUUUCUCCUUCACCAACUGAAACAGUGGUCUUCUUUUGUUUAGCAGCAGCUCAUAUAGCUAGCUUGAAUUAAAGGAGUAUGUUAUUCUAAAAUCACAAAUCUAAAUCCUGGCCAGGUGCCCUGCACACUGCUCCAAAGGCUGGAGGGAGCCCAGAACUGGUGUCCCAGGUGCUCCCUCCUGUGGCAUCAUGUCUACUUGCUUGCUGCCAUGUUUCCCACCAUGAGGAUAAUGGACUAAACUUCUAAAACUUUAAGCCAGCCCCAAAUAAUAAUAAAUGUUUUCCUUUAAAAAGUUUGCCUGGAAAUGGCAAUUCAUCCCAUAAAUAGAAACCCAAGCUAAGACAGAAUAUCUACACACAUGGGAUUUAUGAGAGUGGCUUACAAGCUGUGAUCUGACCAUUCCAACAAUGGCUGUCUCCCAAUAAAGUCCAAGAAUCUAAUAGUUGUAUGGUUUACAAAGCUGGAUAUCUCAGCUGCUCUUCAGUAUAUUCUGGAAUCCUGAAGAAGUAAGCUCUCACACCGGUGAAGGAACGAACUUGCCAGUGAGAGUGAGGGCAAGCAGGCAAAGAGCAAAAGCUUCCUUCUUUCCUGCCCCUCGUAUAGGCUGUCACCAGAAGGGCUGGCCCAGACUUACCGGAGUCUUCACACCUUAACCGAUCCAAUCAAGAAAAAUCACUUACGUGUACACCCAUACCCUUGGUUGUAGACAUUCCAGAUGUAGUCAACUUGACGACCCAGAAUAGCUGUGAAAGCUACACAGUGAAACUGUCUCAAAAGCGAGAAACUAGAAGAAAUGGUAGCUUUAUGUUGACUUCGGUUUUCAGACUUUGGACCUUUAGAGAAAGUCCUUAGCUGCAGACACUAUGCUUGAACCUUGAUGUUUUGUGCUUUGUUCUUGUCUCUUUGAAUAAUGGGAGUCAUAAUGGGAUAGGCAGAGACUGCUGUCUACUUUAAUAUAUUUUAAAUGUUUUCUUUCACAUCUAUGCGUGUUUUGCUGCAUGUAUGUCUGUGCACCACAUGCAUGCCUGGUGCCAACAGAAGCCAGGAGAUACCAAUUCCCCUGGAAUUUGGUAGCCACCAGCCAUCAUUGUAUUCUCCAUAUCCAGGAGCCUGGGAUUUGAAGACAGCUAUAAGUGAGAUAGUAUAACUGUAAGCCCCUCUAGCCACAGAAGUGGCCAGUCCCCUCUACCAAGAAUCUCUAACUGCCAAGUUCUACCCACAGAAUACUCUAACUGCCCUAACUGCUAAAACUGUCCCCACCCUACAGAGUAAAACGCCCAGUCUCUGAACAUGAAAUCCCACCAAUCUCCACCCUGGAAAGCUCCACCCUAAAAAGUUCCACCCCCUUCCCAAGAAGCUCUAUAUAAGCCCUGUAUCCUGUUCAUUUGCUGCUGUUUAUCACCUAAGCAGAGGCAGCCAUCCUCCUGUUUUUUUCCCUCCCAAUAAAUCUCUUGUGUGAGAUA